rnacentral:rRNA from 1 species
AUGGCCGUCCCAAGAAGGUCUUUGGAUGGCAGGUUGUUCUGGGUGCUGGGCCUUGUUUGUGCCAUGUAUCAGAUAUUUUUUGUUCGGUCAGCAGCGGGUCAAACAGCACAGUUGAGUGUGAAUGCUUCACCUCAGAAUACUCAGAUGAUUCCUGAGAAUAUGUUUGGCAUCUUUUUCGAGGAGAUUAAUCAUGCCGGGGCUGGUGGGUUGUGGGCCGAACUUGUAAAUAAUAGAGGUUUUGAAGCUGGUGGUCCUAAUACUCCUUCAAACAUUGACCCAUGGUUGAUAAUUGGAGAUGAAUCGAACAUUAUUGUUGCAACCGACCGCUCAUCCUGUUUUGCAACUAAUCCAAUCGCACUUCGGAUGGAAGUACUUUGUGAAUCUAGUGGAAAUGAUGUCUGCCCACCAGGAGGUGUCGGUAUUUAUAAUCCUGGUUUCUGGGGCAUGAAUAUUGAGGAAGCGAAGGUUUAUAAAGUCAGCAUGUACAUCAGGUCAUCAGACUCCAUGGAUCUAACAGUUUCCUUGACAAGUUCAGAUGGUCUUCAGAAUCUAGCUGCUUAUACCAUCACGGCUGAUAAGGAAGAUUUUAAAGAGUGGACGAAGGUUGAGUUUGAUCUGCAAUCAAGUGAAAGAAAUUCCAACUCAAGGCUUCAGCUUACAACCAGAACAAGUGGCAUUGUUUGGUUUGAUCAAGUAUCACUUAUGCCAUCUGAUACUUACAUGGGGCAUGGUUGUCGUAAAGAUCUUGCGUCUAUGCUGGCAAAUCUAAAGCCUAAAUUUUUGAAAUUCCCAGGUGGAAACUAUGUCAUGGGAAACUAUCUGUCAAAUGCAUUUCGCUGGAGUGAAACUGUUGGACCCUGGGAGGAGAGACCUGGUCAUUUUAAUGAUGUUUGGGGCUACUGGACUGAUGAUGGACUUGGAUUCUUUGAGUUCCUUCAAUUAGCAGAAGACCUUGGUGCUUGCCCAGUUUGGGUGGUCAAUGAUGGGGCUAGCCGAAAUGAACAAGUGCCAUCUGCCACAAUAGCUGCUUUUGUAAAGGAUGUUGUUGACGGCAUUGACUUUGCGAGGGGAGACCCUGGGACUUCAUGGGGUUCAGUUCGUGCAGCAAUGGGACACCCAGAGCCCUUUCAGCUUAAUUAUAUUUCUAUAGGAAAUCAGGAAUGCUCAAUGCACUACUAUAAAGAGAAUUACCGCAAGUUCUAUUCUGCAAUAAAAGCAUCCUACCCAGAUAUCAAAAUCAUAUCCAGCUGUGAUAGAUCUACCAUUUCACCGGUCGAACCUGCUGAUCUGUAUGAUGUUCAUGUCUAUACCUCAUCUGGUGAUAUGUUUUCCAAAUCUAGCAUGUUUGACAGCACACCCCGGGGCGGACCGAAGGCAAUUGUUAGUGAAUAUGCUGUGACCGGAAAUGAUGCUGGCCGAGGAACACUAGUAGCUGCUCUAGCUGAAGCUGCAUUUCUUAUUGGAUUAGAAAGAAACAGCGACGCGGUUGAAAUGGCAAGUUGUGCUCCACUCUUCGUAAAUGACAAUGAUCACAGGUGGAGUCCAGAUGCCAUAGUCUUCAACUCAUGGCAGCACUAUGGAUGUCCAAACUACUGGAUGUUACACUUCUUCAAGGAGUCAAGCGGCGCGGCACUUCAUCCAUCUACCAUUCAUGUAUCGAACUAUAACCAACUGGUCGCAUCGGCUAUCACGUGGCAGAAUUCUAAAGAUGGAAAUACCUACCUAAAAAUAAAGGUUCUCAAUUUCGGCAACAAGGCUAUAGAUCUUAGUAUCUCUAUAACUGGGCUGGAGAAUGAGGUUCAGACAUUUGGAUCCAUAAAGACGGUACUUACAUCUGGUUCCCUGCGGGAUGAGAACUCCUUCCAGCAACCAGACAAGGUGGUGCCGGUGGAAAGCCCGAUAAGCAAUGCGAGGGAGGAGAUGAGCCUUGUACUGGAUCCAUACUCCCUCACCUCGUUUGAUCUCCUCUUGGACCUGAAGUCAAGCUUGCAGAUGAUGCAUUCAGUCCCGGAGUCAAGCUUGCAUUCAAGUAUGUGA